GGAAGCAGAGGGAGUGACUCAAGCAGUUCGGAAGUGGAAUUGUGUUCGUGUUACGUCUAUGCAGUCCAGUGUUGCCUAGAAACUAGGCGCCGGGGGAAAAAGAUCCUCAGCAGUACUGGGCCGUGCUGGACUGGGGCGGAACCAGGCACUAGUGGAUGAUCAGCUGCCGUAAGUUUGAGGUUAAGAUUGAGAUUGAGAUUGUACCAGUGGCCGGGAAUGUGCAGUGGCUUCCCCUCUGCCUCUGCGCAACACUCAAAUGUGGCGGACGGUAUACCUCCUCCUGGCGGCCACCACGCUAUGUCAAGACCAUCGACUUACCUGAAGGUCUGGCCUUCAGGCACACGACAGUAGCGCCUCCUU